rnacentral:rRNA from 1 species
UACGUAGGUGGCAAGCGUUGUCCGGAUUUACUGGGCGUAAAGAGCGUGCAGGCGGUCGAUUUAGUCGCGUGUGAAAGCCCCCGGCUCAACUGGGGAGGGUCACGCGAUACUGAUCGACUCGAAGGCAGGAGAGGGUAGUGGAAUUCCCGGUGUAGUGGUGAAAUGCGUAGAUAUCGGGAGGAACACCAGUGGCGAAGGCGACUACCUGGCCUGUUCUUGACGCUGAGGCGCGAAAGCUAGGGGAGCAAACGGG